rnacentral:rRNA from 1 species
GACGAACCGUGCGAACGUUGUUCGGAUUCACUGGGCUUAAAGGGCGCGUAGGCGGGCAAGCAAGUCCGGGGUGAAAUCUUUCGGCUUAACCGGAAAAGUGCCUUGGAUACUGCUUGUCUCGAGGGAGGUAGGGGUCUGCGGAACUUCCGGUGGAGCGGUGAAAUGCGUUGAUAUCGGAAGGAACGCCGGUGGCGAAAGCGGCGGACUGGACCUCUUCUGACGCUGAGGCGCGAAAGCCAGGGGAGCAAACGGG